rnacentral:rRNA from 1 species
UACGUAGGGCGCAAGCGUUGUUCGGAAUUACUGGGCGUAAAGGGCUCGUAGGUGGCCAACUAAGUCGGACGUGAAAUCCCUCAGCUUAACUGGGGAACUGCGUCCGAUACUGGAUGGCUCGAGUUUGGGAGAGGGAUGCGGAAUUCCAGGUGUAGCGGUGAAAUGCGUAGAUAUCUGGAGGAACACCGGUGGCGAAGGCGGCAUCCUGGACCAACACUGACACUGAGGAGCGAAAGCCAGGGGAGCAAACGGG